rnacentral:rRNA from 1 species
GCACAUUUAUUAUAUUUUUCGAAUUUGAAUAUUAUUUAAAUUUUACUAAUAAAUCCUAUUUUUAAAAAAAAUUUCUUUUUUCUUCCUUUAAUAUUUUUAAAAGUAACCCAUUAUAACUUAGAUAUGGUCUACACCUUUACCUAACUUAUUAGAUAUAAUUCUAUUGAGAAUAAAAUUUUAAAAUAAAUCCUUAAGAUGGAGGUAUAUAAAAUAUAAAUAGAAGUGAGAAGUAGCGUGGAUUAUCGAUUAUUUAACAGGUU